UGGUUAAGAUUUGGAUUAAGGUUCUAUUUAGGGUUUAGAAUUUGGAUUAGGUUUUGGUUUAGGAUUUAGGAUUUGAUUAGGAUUUUAUUUAGAGUCUAAGAUUUGGUUAGAAUUUGGUUUAGGGUUUAGGAUUUGGAUUAGAAUUUGGUUUAGGAUUUAAGAUUUGGAUUAGAGUUUGAUUAGGAUUUGAUUUAAGGUUUAGGAUUUGGUUUAGGAUUUGGUUAGGAUUUGGUUGGGAUUUGGUUUAAGGUUUGUUUAGGGUUUGAUUUAGGAUUUAGGAUUUUAUUAAGAUUUAAGAUUUAAUUAGUUUUGGCCUAAAGUUUGAAUGAAGUUCAAUAGGAUUUUAACUAAAAUUAAAUGAAGAUUGAAUUGAGAUGUAUUUGAGUAAUAAUUUUAAUUCAAAUCCCCAAAUCAUUCAGAAUUUGUGAUUGUUUAAAAAGAAAGGAGAAAAAAAUUUGAGUGGAUUACUUUUUAAUGCAUAAAAUUACUUUCGCAUGGUCAUAUGUGGAUUUGAAAAGAAUUCUAGCUGAAGUUUGUGAACAUCAAAUUAUAUUGGAAGAGAACGCUACACCAGUACG
rnacentral:lncRNA from 1 species